CCUACGGGUGGCAGCAGUGAGGAAUAUUGCGCAAUGGGGGCAACCCUGACGCAGCAACGCCGCGUGAGUGAGGAAGGUUUUCGGACCGUAAAGCUCUGUCGAGCGGGAAGAAAUGUAUCGUGGCUAAUAUCCAUGAUAUUUGACGGUACCGCUAAAGGAAGCACCGGCUAACUCCGUGCCAGCAGCCGCGGUAAUACGGGGGGUGCAAGCGUUGUUCGGAAUCAUUGGGCGUACAGAGCAAGUCAGAUGCGAAAUCCCUGGGCUGAACCCAGGAAGUGCAUUUGAAACUAUUCAGCUUGAGUAGGGGAGAGGAAAGUGGAAUUCCUGGUGUAGAGGUGAAAUUCGUAGAUAUCAGGAGGAACACCGGUGGCGAAGGCGACUUUCUGGCCCUAUACUGACGCUGAGACGCGAGAGCGUGGGUAGCAAACAGGAUUUGAUACCCGUGUAGUC
rnacentral:rRNA from 1 species